rnacentral:tRNA from 1 species
AGGGGUAUAGCUCAGGUGGUAGAGUGUGUGCUUAGCAUAUACAAAGUCCUGGGUUUGAUCCCCAGUACCUCCA